rfam:Wenyingzhuangia fucanilytica strain CZ1127, complete genome.
UAUAUUUGCAGCCGAUUACCAAAGAGGUAAUCCGCAUAAUAAUCAUUUACAAAAAUAUUAGCAUG